GCUUCUACAGACACAGACCUAAAAGGAAAGUUUUCCUUGGUUUGUUAUGACCACGCAGACUGCACAAAACUACAGCUUUAUAAACGCAACUACAACUAAAACUUCAAGUGUGCCUUUCACAAGACGACCUGCUAAAGCAUAAACCACUGUCCUGUAAAAGCGUGCUCAGGCCAGAAGAGAGAGAAUUAAAGAUUUUUUCUGACGGAUUUUUUUCUGAAGGGGAACUUCGCGCUGACUUGCUGCAGUUCUUAAAGCGGCCGCUAGAGGAAAGUAAGCGGUUUAUACCACAUUUGAUAGCUGCCCUGAUAUUACCUCUAACCAGUCAGGUAAAAAUGGUUAAAGUUUGUCAAUAAAUAUUUAUCCGAUUUGAACCUUUCUUGCGAAAGUGUUUAGUCACAUUUUGCCUGUUACUUUUCUCAGCGCUACUCAGAUUAGACCAAUCACAAUCGUACUUGAUUACAGGAAAUUGACUUGUUUUGGCAUUUUAUGAAGAUUGCUGUAACCUGUUCUCUUUGUAUAUCACGUGACGGUCAUUAGAAAUAAAGAAAUGUAAAGGGUAAUAUCAGUUUUAGUCAAUAAGUGUCUCAAAUAAGAAUAAUAAAAAAGAUAAAUCCCUGAUGACACGAGCUUGUUUGAGUGACGGACUCGGCUCUGUGAGCCUCUAAGCGCCGCUUGCAGGAAGACUCUGUCACAAAAAGGAAAAACAUUGCAAUAAAGUCCGUCCCAAUGUAUAAGCACUGCCAUAAACGCAUAAAAAGCGCCUGCGUGGCAGCAGAAACACACGACAGAAGCGUGUUUGUACAGAAUGAGCUCCCAUGAGCCUCGUUCAUGUCUAAUCAUAACUUUAGGCCUUGUGUAGACAGACUAUAUAUCAUAAUAUUAAUAAUGAUAUGUGUUCAAUAAAUCCGUCUAGGAUUGUUCUUUGGCCCUUAACUGUAAAACUAAACGAUUACAGCGUAAUGCAAAUUUAGAUUAAGGUAAGCAAUCAAAUAUAUUUCUAUCCAAUGCUUUUCUUCAACAAGGAUAUAUUUAAUUUAUUUAAAGUGACAGUAAUCAGAAUAAUUUCUGAAGGAUCGUGAUUAAGACUGGAGAAAUAAUGAUGAAAAUUCAGCUUCGAACACAGGACUAAAUGACAUUAUAACAUCUCGGAGAGCAUAUAAAGCUUUGAAAGUGAUUCAGAAAUCUGACUGACCCCAUCACCCCACAGUAUUAUAACAAACUCAUAUGAAAUCAUAUUGAUUUAUCACAGUAGCCUGUAUUUUCUUUCUGUCGUUCAUAAGGAUUGAGAACAGAACAGAGUCACUAGCACCUAAACAUGUAGUAAACCACCUAAAGUUAGUGAACAACAUUACUAUUACGUGUUUAAUAUUUAACAAUCAAGUCAUCUGCCAUAAGGUUAAAGUCCUGUGAAAUGAUUAUAAAUCUAUAAACAGCUGUUAAGUGGUUCCUUGAGUUGUUUAUUACGGCAGUGCAUAACAUCAGAUGAUGCUACUCUGAAAGUACAAUCAAAUUAAAAAAGGGAUGUUUUCAGAUCCCCAGUAAAGAAAAGAAAAUAGGAAAAGCUGGUGUGAUGUAUUUCCCAGAAAUAUAGUGUGUAACAGCACGAGAACAGAAACCGUCCAGCAGCUCUCUCUCUCUCUGUGUGUGUGUGUGUGUGUGUGUGUGUGUGAGAGGUAGCAUAAAUGCACUCUGUAAUCACAAUCCAUGAAGGAUUAUGUAUCACAUGCUUGCAGGUUGAUUGUUGAUUCUCAUGACACAAAUUAUGGAGAGAUACACCUUG
rnacentral:lncRNA from 1 species